rnacentral:rRNA from 1 species
CCCUUAGAUGUCCGGGGCUGCACGCGCGCUACACUGUAGAAAGCAGCGUGCUUUAAAACCUUUCCUGAAAAGGAUGGGUAACCCCAGCAAAAUUCUACGUGCUUGGGAUAGAGAUUUGCAAUUUUCUCUCUUGAACGAGGAAUUCCCAGUAAGUGCGAGUCAUCAGCUCGCGUUGAUUACGUCCCUGCCCUUUGUACACACCGCCCGUCGCUACUACCGAUUGAAUGGCUUAGUGAGGCCUCCGGAUUGGCUUUGGGGAGCCGGCAACGGCACCUCAUGGCUGAGAAGUUGGUCAAACUUGGUCAUUUAGAGGAAGUAAAAGUCGUAACA